CAGCUGCGGGCAGGUCUGGUGGUAUUGUCCUGCUAUGGCACACAACCUUUGUUAGUAUUACUCGUAAGCAUCAAACCUCUCAGAAGCUCCACACCAUGAUUAAGGUUAGCUCCUUCAAUUUAUCUUGGCAUAUUUCUAUUAUAUAUGCUAGUACUGGUUAUAAUACUCAUAGAAUCCUUUGGCAGAAACUUAUAGCUUAUGCUCGUUUGGUUACUUGUUGGUGAUUUUAAUGAUAUUCUUUCCCAAAAUGAUAAAUAGCGGGGUAGAUUUAUAAAUAAUACUAGAACUUCGGAAUUUUGGAAUUAUGUUAAUUCCUGUCAACUUAUGGACCUCAGUUACAAAGGCAAUAAAUACAGUUGGUCAAACCAUAGAAAAAGUCUUAAGUCUGUUAUCUUAGAAUGACUAGAUGAGUCUUUGUCACCAUGAAUAGAUGGAAAACUGGCCUAAUGCCCACGUUACUCACCUACCUAAAACCCAUUCUGAUUAUAAUCCUCUAUGGAUUUCUCUUACUAAUAAAUACUCCGAACAAGGUAGGAAACCCUUUAGGCUGGAAAAGUAUUGGAUGGACCACCCGGAGUUUAGUUCUAUUAUUAGGAAAAAUUGGGAUUCUAAUGAUCUUUUUCGUGCAUUCUCUGAUUUUCGGGACAACAUUAUGAGGUGGAGUUCUCAUACUUUUGGUAAUAUUUUUAAUACCAAAAAUGAAUUCUUGCAUGGCUUGCUGGGAUUCAACACUCCCCUUAAUAUGCUACUAGUACCUUCCUUCAAAACCGUGAACACCCUCUCAAAACUGAGUUCAAUAAUAUUCUUAAACAGGAGGAGUAUCAUUGGAAAAUACGCUUCUGUAUUAACUGGUUUAGUAUGGGAGAUGAGAACACUAAGUAUUUUCACAUGACUGUCCUUAAUAGGCAUUGUCGAAAUAAGAUCUCUUAUUUCAAGGACUCGAACGAUAACUGGAACACUGACCCCAAACAACUCUUGGAUCAUGUUUUUACCUACUUCUCUAAUUGUUUUACUACCGAACACAUCCACACCAUCUGGUCUCAUUUAAUCAAUCUCAUACUAGUUUCCAUAAGUUAGAUCUCUCUAUUUUGGAUAACCCACUCCAGGACAUCAAAAUAUCGCAGGCUGUGUUCUUCUUUAAACCCUUUAAAGCUCUGAGACCGGAUGGGCUCCACCCUCACUAUUUAUAAUCUCAAUGGAGUAUUGUUGGACCUUUAAUCAAAUCCAUGUAUCACACGGUCUUCAAUACUUAGACUCUCCCAGACUGUAUGAAUAAUACCUUCUUUUGUCUAAUCCCAAAGUUUUCCAAUGUAAACCUUCUAAAAAACUUCUGUCCUAUCAGCCUUUGUAAUACAACCUACAAAAUUAUUACUAAAAUCAUCGCUAAUCAAAUUAAACCCCGUCUUAUCAUCCUCAUUAGUCCUUAUCAAGCUAGCUUCCUGAAAGGACGUUGGGCUUGUGAUAAUGCUAUAUUAGUUCAAGAAUUAGUUACCCAUAUUACUCGGUCCUGAAAUAAGUUUGCUAGCCUUAUCCUCAAAAUAGAUUUGGAAAAGGCUUUUGAUCGACUGGAAUAGUCCUUUGUCUAUCGUACUAUUUCUAUUCUUUAAGUUUCCUCCGAAACUUACUAGGCUUAGUAUGAAUUACCUAUCCUUUAGUAAUAUCUCUGUCCUAGUUAAUGGUAUUUAGAAUAGUUAUUUCUCACCUUCUCGGGGUAUCUGACAAGGUGAUCCUAUGUCCCCGUAUUUCUUUAUUCUUUGUAUGGAUCUUCUCUCUAACUAUAUUUGUCAUCAGGUUGAUAUUUUGCACUGGGACCCAAUUACUCUGAGUAGAAAUGGACCUCCCUUUUCUCAUCUAUUUUUUGCAGAUGACCUAACUCUUAUCUCUAAGGCUAACAUAUCCUCUAUCUAUAUACUAUAUGACUGUAUGACCCAUUUCAGUACUCUUUUGGGGCAAAAAAGUAAUGUGGCCAGAUCAAAAGCUAUAUUCUCGCCAUCCUACCCUCAAUAUAUUUGGGUUCUAAUUAAAGAUCUUUUUGGCAUAUCGCCAUCAACCAGCUUUGGUAAAUACUUAGGUUUGCCCAUUCUUCGUAUGAACCGACACAUGUAGAUUUUUAAUUCCUUGUUGAUAAUAAGCGUCGAAAACUAGCCUCUUGGAAAACUAAAUUUCUUUUCUUGGUAGGUAGGCUUGUCUUGAUUCGAUCUAAUUUAAACACAAUCCUAUCCUACAUAAUGCAAUAUUUCAAACUCCCUAAAAAAACCUAUAACAUUAUUGAUAAAAUUCAAAUGGACUUCCUUUGGGGUUCAACCGACCAAAAGCAUAAGCUACACUAUAUCAGUUGAGACAAAGUCACCUCUCUAAAAGAGCAUGGGGGUUUAGGUCUUCUACAGGCUGAUAUUAAGAAUUGAACUCUAUUAACAAGUCUAGCCUGGCGACUGUUUACUAACUCCACGUCUCUUGGGGUAAAUACUCUCCUUCACAAGUAUAAUCAUGUUCGCUGUAAAUCUAGUACCUCUUUUAUUUGGAAAAAUAUUCUCCUUGGAGGGUGUCUUUGUAGUCAAGCAACAUCUUGACCCCGGCUACGGGCCAUUCUAUUAAAUUUUGGAUGCCUUGUUGGGUUCCUCAGCUCCCUACCGUUUGGGAAAUUAUUCACGGUCCUUUUGUUCAUAAGGAGGAAGAACUUUUCCUUGCUGAUCUCUAGACAAGCCAUCCGUGGGAUUGGCGUAAAAUUUCCUUCAAAAUUCCUUCUUUUUUCAUCACACAAGUAAACUAUAUAUAUCCAAAUCCAUCUCUUGGUUCUUACGAUUAACCAUACUAGGCCAAUACGGCCAAUGGCCUAUUUUCUUUGAAAUCCGUUUAUCAAUCGAUUCAUACUUCUCUAUCUAUGCUUUCAAUUGGGUUUGGAAACUCAACACCUUAGAAAAAAUCCACCACUUUCUAUGGCUUUGUUCCAGUGGCCGGUUUGCCACUACGGCUUAUCUUUAUCAUAUUGGUAUCUUACCACACCCAAACUUCCCAGUAUGCCACCUAGAGCCAGAAACCACUAGCCUCAUUUCACCCACUGCUGCAUAGCCCAAAACUUUUGGUUAGAUAUAGGUUUAAAUCCCUUCCACCUUGAUACUACAAACCAACAUUGGUUGAACUCUUUAAAAACAUACCCCCCUCACUUUCAGGAUGCUUCUUUGGACUGGCUGAUUUUCUUUCCAAUGGCUAUUUGGAAUAUUUGGCUAAACCAAAACCAUAAUAUAUUCCAUAAAAAACAAAUCUUCUUAACUCUGCCGCAAUUAGAGAAAAAACCAUGAAGUAUAUUACUUAUACCACCAUUCCUAGAAAUCAACAUGAGACUAUUUCCAUUAAGGUUUGAUGGUUUCCACCCUCUGACGGUCUUUACAAACUUAAUGUUGACGGGGCUUUUUAGUAACUAUACUAAAUGUGGUUUGGAAGGGGUCAUUCACAACUUUUCAAGUGAUUGGAUAGUGGGUUUUUCUGCCAUGGGCAAUAGCCAUUGCCAUACACUGGCUGAACUUGAAGCCUUAAAAAUUGGUCUUGACUUAGCCAUCACACGCAAUCUUUUACCUAUUAUUAUUGAAACUGACUCGGUGGAGGUAAUCUAACUAUUACAGCAUUCUACCAUGCCGUUUACUGAUAUUUUAUCUCAAUGCAGGUCAAUGUUGAAAGCAUGGAGAAUCCAGUAGUACAACAUAACUUUUGAGAGGCUAACAAAGUAGCAGAUAGUUUGGCCCGUGCAAGUUUCUCCUUAUCCCAGUUUGAUGAAGUAAUUUUUCUCCAGUCUCCUCUGUCUUCAGUCGCUGUACAUCUGCAAAAUGAUGCUUAUGGUGUUUUUUGUGAUCGUUUUGUGUCCUGGU
rnacentral:lncRNA from 1 species